rnacentral:rRNA from 1 species
UACAGAGGGGGCAAGCGUUGUUCGGAAUUACUGGGCGUAAAGGGCGCGUAGGCGGCCUGUUAAGUCGAACGUGAAAUCCCCGGGCUCAACCCGGGAACUGCGUCCGAUACUGGCAGGCUUGAAUUCGGGAGAGGGAUGCGGAAUUCCAGGUGUAGCGGUGAAAUGCAUAGAUAUCUGGAGGAACACCGGUGGCGAAGGCGGCAUCCUGGACCAAUUCUGACGCUGAGGAGCGAAAGCCAGGGGAGCAAACGGG